rnacentral:lncRNA from 1 species
AGAAUCUUGUGGCUCUGAUACCACUUUGUUGGAAGACGAUUGCUAUUAAUAUUUGGAGGGAGGCUUUUAGGCUAAGGGAAUUAUGGAAGAGUAGAAAGAUUUUGGAGAAGAGAAACUUUUAUUACUCAAACUUGUUUUUGAUUUUUUUGGCUUAUUAUGUUGUGUGUUGUGUGUUAUACAAAUGCCAAAUGCCAUCCCAUAUUUAUAGGGGAGGCUUGCCAAGCUCUAGAGAGUCUAGAGAGUUCUAUUUUCUAGCUAGGUACAUGUGCUAGAAUUCUAUGGAGAAAUCUAGAGUAUUUCCAAGCUCAAAUGGACUAGAGUUCUCUAGAAUGUUCCGGAAUCUAGAGUUGCCUAGAAUGUUCCGGAAUUGGGCUAUUUAUUUUUCAUAAUUUCUUAAGCCCAAAUAAUUAUAACAAAAUCAAGUUUAUUUUAUUUUCAACAU